CACGUAGGGCGCAAGCGUUGUCCGGAAUUAUUGGGCGUAAAGAGCUCGUAGGUGGCCUGUUGCGUCCGCUGUGAAAACUCAGGGCUUAACCCUGAGCCGGCAGUGGAUACGGGCAGGCUAGAGGUAGGUAGGGGAGAAUGGAAUUCCUGGUGUAGCGGUGAAAUGCGCAGAUAUCAGGAGGAACACCGGUGGCGAAGGCGGUUCUCUGGGCCGAUACUGACGCUGAGGAGCGAAAGCGUGGGGAGCGAACAGG
rnacentral:rRNA from 1 species